AACAAGGCGUACCUGCGGACCUGCGGAAGGAUCAUUACAUGGCGGAGAAGGUGGGCACCUGGCAAACUCCAGGUUGUGAUGCCUUCACGCUCUUCCACCCUUGUCUAUUUGCACCUUCUGUCGUUCCCUCGGCGGGUUUCGACCCGCCGGCGGCAACAUUGAUAAACCUUUUUUGCAGUUAGCAUCCAAUUCUUCUGAUCAAAAUAUCAAAUCGUUACAACUUUUAACAACGGAUCUCAG
rnacentral:misc_RNA from 1 species